rnacentral:rRNA from 1 species
UACGAAGGGGGCUAGCGUUGUUCGGAUUUACUGGGCGUAAAGCGCACGUAGGCGGAUUGUUAAGUCGGGGGUGAAAGCCUGUGGCUCAACCACAGAAUUGCCUUUGAUACUGUUUGGCUAGAGACCGGAAGAGGUAAGUGGAACUGCGAGUGUAGAGGUGAAAUUCGUAGAUAUUGGGAAGAACACCGGUGGCGAAGGCGGCCAACUGGACCACAACUGACGCUGAGGCGCGAAAGCGUGGGGAGCAAACAGG